AGAGUUAGCGGCGGACGGGUGAGUAACACGUGGGCAACCUGCCUGUAAGACUGGGAUAACUCCGGGAAACCGGGGCUAAUACCGGAUAAUAUCUAUUUAUACGUAUAAUUAGAUUGAAAGAUGGUUCUGCUAUCGCUUACAGAUGGGCCCGCGGCGCAUUAGCUAGUUGGUGAGGUAACGGCUCACCAAGGCGACGAUGCGUAGCCGACCUGAGAGGGUGAUCGGCCACACUGGGACUGAGACACGGCCCAGACUCCUACGGGAGGCAGCAGUAGGGAAUCUUCCGCAAUGGACGAAAGUCUGACGGAGCAACGCCGCGUGAGUGAUGAAGGUUUUCGGAUCGUAAAACUCUGUUGUUAGGGAAGAACAAGUACCGGAGUAACUGCCGGUACCUUGACGGUACCUAACCAGAAAGCCACGGCUAACUACGUGCCAGCAGCCGCGGUAAUACGUAGGUGGCAAGCGUUGUCCGGAAUUAUUGGGCGUAAAGCGCGCGCAGGCGGUUCCUUAAGUCUGAUGUGAAAGCCCACGGCUCAACCGUGGAGGGUCAUUGGAAACUGGGGAACUUGAGUGCAGAAGAGGAAAGUGGAAUUCCAAGUGUAGCGGUGAAAUGCGUAGAGAUUUGGAGGAACACCAGUGGCGAGGCGACUUUCUGGUCUGUAACUGACG
rnacentral:rRNA from 1 species